rnacentral:lncRNA from 1 species
CUUUUGUCUUUUUGUUGUUGUUGCUAUUUCUUGGGCCGCUCCCGUGGCAUAUGGAGGUUCCCAGGCUAGGGGUUGAAUCGGAGCUGUAGCCACCGGCCUACGCCAGAGCCACAGCAACGCGGGAUCCGAGCCGAGUCUGCAACCUACACCACAGCUCACGGCAACGCUGGAUCGUUAACCCACUGAGCAAGGGCAGGGACCGAACCCGCAACCUCAUGGUUCCUAGUCGGAUUCGUUAACCACUGCGCCACAACGGGAACUCCAGUUGCUGUAUCCAGAUUCCUUCUAUCAUAUUUUCUUAGGGGAAAACAUUAACAUUUGACUAGAAUUCAAGAUUCAUAAUGGUUGAGAAAUAAAGCCAAAAGAAAAUACUGCCCUCAGUUAUAAGUCCAUAGGUUGGCCUUCCCUUUAAUUUGCUUUCUUAUCCAGCUUUAUUAUGGCCUCAAAAAAAAAAAAAAAAUACACCUGAGGUUACCUGAGGUUUACCUCCCAACACCAGGUACCAGUAGCUUUUCACUACCAGGGAUGAUAAAUACAAGGUAACACUUAGGAAAUUAUGGGUAAGCUGCAGCACACUGACAUAUUGUUAAGAGAUAUAUUAUGGUUUAAAACAAAACUCGGGAAUAGUAUCUCUAAAUAUAACUUGAGAGUUUAUUUCGAGUAGAGUCCAGCCACUUCUAUAUCCUACCAAAUAACUGUUCCUCCAGCCAAAUCAACUGUGGAGAUCAUAGAAUGACAGACGUCACAGACAGAAUCUGCAUAUUUCUAGGGAAACUCUUACAAACCUUGAAAGUGAGACAAAGUUAUACGAGGUAAAGAAGCAAACUUAUUAAGCUAUGUACAUAUAUACAUAUUUGAGUCAAUGGAAAUUUUAACUUAAUCUGGCAGUAAAACUAUAAAACAACAUAAGGAGUACCCUUAGGCUAAGACAAAACAUCACAGCCUUUUCAGAUAGCACCUGGUGGCUGGCAUGCAGCUCCAGGGUGGACCUUUUGCAUGAAAAAGAAGGUCACAACAAAACUGAACUGUGGAAAAAUUAACACAGAUUUUUUUUGAAAACAUAGCAGGGCCUCAAAGGGUAGCAGGAAUAAACUUCCUUUGCCUUUACAAGACUUAAAAUUUUUUCUGUUCAUUUUUGGAGAAAACUGAAGGAGAGGAGAAUAUUUUCUCUAUUCCUUUCUCUUUAGGUAGAAGUGGCUGUGAAAGGCUUCACUAUAACUGUUUGAACUGGGAACAGUUAAAUCACACAGAUUAAGCUAGGGUGCUUUUUCUUUUGAAGAAGGCGGCUGAGUCACAGCCCUGAGACUGCUUGCUCUCUGACUCCAAGUUGUUGUGGUCUAUUUGCUUUCAUUGGCUCAUCAUCUUUCUCAACCAGAAAGCAGCCAGCCCUCUGGGCAGAGCAAUCCCCCUUUUCCAAUGUAUAUUCUGAAGGACAGGAGACCCUAGCCCUUAAAAAUUGCACUGUACUUCUAUAGGGAGAGGCUUGCCCCCAGAAUGGUGGACUGGAAUGGUUGGAGUGACGAAUCCCUGGAGGAUGGUCCUGUGAUAUAGCAUAAGCACUGGUUCAUGCCAGAAUUGGUGCCUAAGCAAGAGAUACACAUGCCCAUCAAAUCAAGAGAAGUGAUACUUGCAUCCAACAGAUGAAUACCAUGCCACCUGGCUUCAAUCAAGCCAUCUACAAUAAUUUCAGCAAUUUCCAAACCAUCAGUAAUUUCCAAACUCAAGAUACUAGGCCUGCCAUGACCCUGGAAAGUUCACUAGAGAACUUAAAAGUUUGAGCCCAAGCUGAAUUUCCAUGAGGUACUUAGAGAAAUCAUGGGCAACUCACCAUCAUCAACCAGGGACAACUGCAAUGGUUGUGGCACAAGCCAGUCAGGUUGAUCUCUCUAGAUGCAGAGAUUAGCAGGUGGAUGCAACUUAGUCCUUCUGCAAUAGUCAUGUACUUCCAAUUAAUUCAUAGUUAAGAGUAUAUACAGAAGAGAUCAAAUCCUUUGCUGACAUAUGGCACUAAAAAAAUCCCUUUACAUUCCUAUAGCUUACUUUCAGUGAUAGAGAUUCCUUGAUUUGCUCAAUUUUGGGAUAGUAGAAAAAUUCAGAGACACAAAACUCCCUCUACAAAAACAUCCCCAACUCAUUGGUACAAACCUCCAGACUCCUCCUUCAUACCACAAGCUACUAUAGGUAGCAAUGCUGCUAGAGGUUUAUACUUGGCUCAAUGUACACCCACUGCCUAGCAGAAAGCUGCUUUCAAAGCUGAGCUUGCUUCAUCCAUCUACAAAUAUCCUAAAUUUCGUAAGCCCUCAUAAAGAAUUUCCUCAGGACGCGACAAAGAAAACUAACACGCAAGGUCUACUAUUAUUUAAAACUUUUAAAUCUACUUCCAGAGUUCUAUUCAGAUUGCAUCCUUAUCUGGGCUCUGAUUCAGAUUUCAAGCAUCUGCCACUCUACAGCUAGUUGAUGAGAAAGAGAGUACAGGGUGAGGAGUGGGGGAAAGAGGACCACAGUAGGAGUAUCCUAACUGACCUCCUGUCUUCAGUCAUUAUUCUCCUUAUUUCAUCCAUCCUGGAUAUCACCAAAUCAGUGUUUCUAAAACACUCCAUUUCACAGUUUUACUUUCUGCUUUUUGCUCGUCUAUACAUUCUAGUCUUUCUAAAAUGGACGUUUAUAAGGAAAUUACUUUUUUAAAGUUAAAGGAACCUCUGCUUUCAUUAUUUCAUUCUCAGAGUGUAGUCUAAAUGCACAGACCUCCACCAGUCAGGCCCCAAACUUCCCUGCCUAGUCCUGGCCAAUCACCUAUCCACAGUGAAUCCUGUGCUCUAACAGAUCUAUCCAGAUUCCUUGAGUACCUAUCAUCUCCUUACUCAUUGCUGUAAUUUGCUUUUGUUCCUCUACCACAAUGAUUUAUCAAAAUCAUCUUCACCCACAUAAAUUUUAUCAAUUUCAAGACUAUCUUAAUCUACUAUAGAGCAAUAGUGAGAUGCCCCCCCCCUUAAAAUGACACCACAAACUGAGAGUCAGCUGGUAAUCAACCGGCAUGUAUUAUUAGUUGUUUUCCGAUGUAAAUAUACAUCUACCUACACCUUUACUAAUCACAUUAAACAUUAAGGAAAAUGUAUGUCUUGCAUUUUUUGUUCUGGGCAAAUAAUAGAUGGUCAAUAAAUAUUUGUUGCAUGAAUCCCUGACCAUACUAAACAACAAUGUAACAUAUAAUUAAACCAGGUUUUCAAUAAAUAUGUGAUGUAUACAUAAUUAAGAGAAAUGACUGCAAGGGCUUUUGCCAUAAAACCACUGAGGGGUAUCCUAUCUGCAUUAUUGACAUAUGAUGGAGUAUUUUAAAGCUUGAAGAAUGUUGGUAUUAUUCAAGGGUGAGGUAAGCAGUGAUGGAAAAGAGUGACAGUUAAGGAUGAAAGAUAAUUUGCACCUUGGCAUAAUUAUAAUCCUUUUUAAAAAGGGCCUAAAUAUAUAUUCCAUUUAUUUACUGUUCAUAUUUUUACUUAAUGCUUCACUCUACACAAAGAGUUCUCAUUUAUAAAGAAAGUAAAAUUGUGAAGGAAUGCUUCCUAUUUUCUUUUUUGUCUUUAACUGUGGCCAAGGGAAGCUCAUCAGGACAUACUGCAAUGCCAUAAGCCAGGCACCCUCUUGCUUAUUCUAACUGCUGGAAA